rnacentral:rRNA from 1 species
AACGAACGCUGGCGGCAUGCCUAACACAUGCAAGUCGAACGAGACCUUCGGGUCUAGUGUCGCACGGGUGCGUAACGCGUGGGAACCUUCCCUUAGGUUCGGAAUAACUCCCCGAAAGGGGUGCUAAUACCGGAUAAUGUCUUCGGACCAAAGAUUUAUCGCCCUUGGAUGUUCCCGAGUUGGAUUAGCUAGUUGGUAGGGUAAAAGCCUACCAAGGCGACGAUCCAUAGCUGGUCUGAGAGGAUGAUCAGCCACACUGGGACUGAGACACGGCCCAGACUCCUACGGGAGGCAGCAGUGGGGAAUAUUGGACAAUGGGCGAAAGGAUGAUCCAGCAAUGCCGCGUGAGUGAUGAAGGCCUUAGGGUUGUAAAGCUCUUUUAACCGGGAUGAUAAUGACAGUACCGGGAGAAUAAGCCCCGGCUAACUCCGUG